GACGAACGCUGGCGGCGUGCUUAACACAUGCAAGUCUACGAGAAUAAAGUAGCAAUAUCUUUAGUAAAGUGGCGCACGGGUGAGUAACACGUAAGUAACCUACCUUUAGAUUUGGAAUAACCCCGAGAAAUCGGGGCUAAUACCGAAUGAUGCAGCGGCACCACAUGGCAAUGUUGUUAAAGUCUAUAUGACGUCUAAAGAUGGGCUUGCUUCUGAUUAGCUAGUUGGUGAGGUAACGGCCCACCAAGGCUACGAUCAGUAGCUGGUCUGAGAGGAUGAUCAGCCACACUGGAACUGAGACACGGUCCAGACUCCUACGGGAGGCAGCAGUGAGGAAUAUUGGGCAAUGCCCGGAAGGGUGACCCAGCAACGCCGCGUGGAGGAUGAAUGCCGUAAGGUUGUAAACUCCUGUUAGAGGGGAAGAAUAAUUCCGAUCGACUCGGAAAUUGACUGUACCCUCAGAGAAAGCCCCGGCUAACUACGUGCCAGCCGCCGCCGUAAUAC
rnacentral:rRNA from 1 species